rnacentral:rRNA from 1 species
ACAAGCGGCGGAGCAUGCGGAUUAAUUCGAUGCAACGCGAAGAACCUUACCAGGUCUUGACAUCCCGAUGCUAUUUCUAGAGAUAGAAAGUUACUUCGGUACAUCGGUGACAGGUGGUGCAUGGUUGUCGUCAGCUCGUGUCGUGAGAUGUUGGGUUAAGUCCCGCAACGAGCGCAACCCCUAUUGUUAGUUGCCAUCAUUCAGUUGGGCACUCUAGCGAGACUGCCGGUAAUAAACCGGAGGAAGGUGGGGAUGACGUCAAAUCAUCAUGCCCCUUAUGUCUUGGGCUUCACGCAUGCUACAAUGGCCGGUACAAAGGGCUGCGAUACCGCGAGGUGGAGCGAAUCCCAGAAAGCCGGUCUCAGUUCGGAUUGGGGUCUGCAACUCGACCCCAUGAAGUCGGAGUCGCUAGUAAUCGCAGAUCAGCAACGCUGCGGUGAAUACGUUCCCGGGCCUU